UACGUAGGGUGCAAGCGUUGUCCGGAAUUAUUGGGCGUAAAGAGCUCGUAGGCGGUCUGUCGCGUCGGCUGUGAAAACUCGGGGCUCAACUCCGAGCUUGCAGUCGAUACGGGCAGGCUAGAGUUCGGCAGGGGGAGACUGGAAUUCCUGGUGUAGCGGUGAAAUGCGCAGAUAUCAGGAGGAACACCGGUGGCGAAGGCGGGUCUCUGGGCCGAUACUGAAGCUGAGGAGCGAAAGCGUGGGGAGCGAACAGG
rnacentral:rRNA from 1 species